rnacentral:misc_RNA from 1 species
CUUACAUGAAUAAAUUAACCGUAAAUCGCCAUUGUUUUUUCAAGUGAGGUCAAGCGAAGAUUUGUCAGCGCUGGAAACGGAAAUUUGGACAUGAAUGGACCCUUGACAUCCAUAUACGCAAUAGGUGGAACUGGAAGACAUGCUUUUGCAAGAUACGUACUUUAGUUUUGUGAUUGGUUGUUACCAUGAAUGAGCCUGACAACAGCCUCACAUUUGAUAGCCAGCCAAUGCCGACUUCGGAUGAAGAUUCCCAGUACCGAUAUGGGAGCCAACUUUCACAGAUACUCAGGCUGUAGACAUUGAUGCAACUAUCCCCCCCCCUCGCAGGCGGUCACCAGUGAUGAAGCUUAAGGUCCCUCAUCAAAACAAAGCACUAGUUAUGAGGCUUCUGUACUAUACAUCUCUAUUUCGGACGAGGAAUCCCAGUCAAUCAUUCUGAAGAAGAGACGUACAAUUACUGUUGGCCCUUUUUUGUGUGACUGAGGAUACUCCCCCAUACACGUCCAUGAGGGUAGUGCCUUAUGUGGUCAGAUGUGUUUGUAACUAAUUUUUCUUGCAUAUGAGGAUAUUCCCCAGAUCAGUCCAAACCAGUAGUGCUUCAUUUGGCUUGUCCUUCCUUCAAACGGCUCCGACAGACAGACAUGGCAGCAGGAUCUGGAUUCGUGGAUAACUGGCAGAGCGGGAGGUCCGUGGUUGAGUGUAACCACCACAUGCUGACCUCGGAACACAACUCUGACGUCACCUUCCGGGUUGGCAAAGGUGAAAAGCCCAUCCGGGCACAUCGCUAUGUGCUCACCAGCCGAAGCUGUGUCUUUGAUGCAAUGCUGUGUGGCCCCCUGGCGGAGAAAGAUGACAUCAAGAUACCUGACGUCGAGGCAGGCAUAUUCUCAGAGAUGUUGGUGUACUUGUACACAGAUGACGCGACUGUCACACCUGGGAAUGUCACUGGAUUGCUGCUCCUGGCCACGAAGUACACCGUGGGGGGUCCCUUAAACUUACAGACUAGUUACCCCCUUCCCCCAAACUUACAGACUGGUUACCCCCUUCCCCCAAACAUACAGACUAGUUACCCCCUUCCUGAAAACUUACAGACUGGUUACCCCCUUCCCCCAAACUUACAGACUGGUUACCCCCUUCCCCCAAACGUACAGACUAGAUACCCCCUUCCCCCAAACUUAUAGACUAGUUACCCCCUUCCCCCAAACUUUCAGACUGGUUACCCCCUUCCCCAAAACUUACAGAAUAGUUACCGCCUUCCUGAAAACUUACAGACAUGUUACCCCCUUCCAAUAAACUUACAGACUAGUUGCCCCCUUCCCACAAACUCACAGACUGGUAACCCCCUUCCCCAAACUUACAGACAUGUUACCCCCUUCCCAUAAACUUACAGACAUGUUACCCCCUUCCCAUAAACUUACAGACUGGUUACCCCCUUCCCUUAAACUUACAGACUAGUUACCCCCUUCCCAUAAACUUACAGACUGGUAACCCCCUUCCCCCAAACUUACAGACUGGUUACCUCAUUCCCGAAAACUUACAGACUGGUUACCCCCUUCCCCCAAACUUACAGACUGGUUACCCCCUUCCCCCAAACGUACAGACAUGUUACCCCCUUCCCUCAAACUUACAGACAUGUUACCCCCUUCCCCCAAACUUACAGACAUGUUACCCCCUUCCCCCAAACUUACAGACAUGUUACCCCCUUCCAUCUAACAUACACACAAGUCCCCCCUCCCCCCAAACUUAAGGAAAUACGGUUUCUAUUCGACACGACCUGGCCACAAACUUAGUUAUCAUACAGUUCUAAGAUUCACUAAAUCAACUCUCAUAAUAUAUUAUCACAUAACUCAACCUGAACGAGACUUUUUUAAUGAGCUGUUAUUGAAUCGUUCAGAGAAGAAUUGCUUGUGUGCGUGCGUACUUGCAUGCGUGCAUGCAUUCGUAUAUUCCAGAAACAAUGGAUGCGACAUUUGACUCGUGUGAAAUUCAUAACACUUCACGCCAGAACUGCUUUGUCCGCCUCAACGACACAGGAUGGCAAAGUAAGGCAAGAAAAUACUGAUUAUGUGAAAAUGUCAACCACUGGCGUAAAUAUCAACUUUGUCAAGAAACCACAUGAGAAAAGCACGUUAUUCGACAAGAAAAGACAAGACAAAUAUCCUCUUUGCAUGCUUUCGUAUCUUUAUGUAGUUGCUAAAAAGAAAUAAACAACUAUCUUGUG